rnacentral:rRNA from 1 species
AUGUGGUAAUGCCGGAUGCUCCACAUGACCUCAUGGGAUUGUGGGAAAGGGUUACUGGUAUGGGAUGGGGUCGCGUCCUAUCAGCUUGUUGGUGGGGUAACGGCCCACCAAGGCUUCGACGGGUAGCCGGCCUGAGAGGGCGACCGGCCACAUUGGGACUGAGAUACGGCCCAGACUCCUACGGGAGGCAGCAGUGGGGAAUAUUGCACAAUGGGCGAAANCCUGAUGCAGCGACGCCGCGUGCGGGAUGAAGGCCUUCGGNUUGUAAGCCUCUUUUGAUUGNGAGCAANNNNGAGUGAGUGUACCUUUCGAAUAAGCACCGGCUAACUACGUGCCAGCAGCCGCGGUAAUACGUAGGGUGCAAGCGUAAUCCGGAAUUAUUGGGCGUAAAGAGCUCGUAGGNUNNNNNNCNCGUCUGGUGUGAAAGUCCAUC